AGUGAACGCUGGCGGUAGGCCUAACACAUGCAAGUCGAACGGCAGCACGGUAAGAGCUUGCUCUUACGGGUGGCGAGUGGCGGACGGGUGAGGAAUACAUCGGAAUCUACUUUUUCGUGGGGGAUAACGUAGGGAAACUUACGCUAAUACCGCAUACGACCUACGGGUGAAAGCAGGGGAUCUUCGGACCUUGCGCGAUUGAAUGAGCCGAUGUCGGAUUAGCUAGUUGGCGGGGUAAAGGCCCACCAAGGCGACGAUCCGUAGCUGGUCUGAGAGGAUGAUCAGCCACACUGGAACUGAGACACGGUCCAGACUCCUACGGGAGGCAGCAGUGGGGAAUAUUAGACAAAGGGCGCAAGCCUGAUCCAGCCAUACCGCGUGGGUGAAGAAGGCCUUCGGGUUGUAAAGCCCUUUUGUUGGGAAAGAAAAGCAGCAGGUUAAUACCCCGCUGUUCUGACGGUACCCAAAGAAUAAGCACCGGCUAACUUCGUG
rnacentral:rRNA from 1 species